GCAGAUGCUCUUCCACAAAAAACAAAGGACCCCCCUGGGCUUCUGUGAUGGCCUGCAUAAUACCUUUGUGGGAUUUGGGAGCAAGGAUGAGAGAGGGUGCCGACCGCCCAAAUAUCAUGCCAGCUAUGCACCUUAUUAUCCAAUCCACAAGGCCGCAAGCACGGGUGACGUAGCCACAGUAAAGAGCUUUAUUGAACGGGGAGUUUUUGCCAUGGAGCAAACAGAUUGGAAGUACAGGACUGCUCUGCAUUUUGCCUGUGUCUAUGGCCAUCCAGAGGUGGUGACUCUCCUGGUGGACAGCAGCUGUGAGAUUAGUCCAAAGGACAUUAAAGAUGCCACCCCUCUAAUUAAGGCCUCCCAGUGCAGACAAACGGAAUGC
rnacentral:lncRNA from 1 species